CUUGACCGACCCCAGGUAGAGGGGUUCGCCCCGGCGGUCCUGGCCGUAGGUGGCCAGCAGUGCCUGUGCCUC
rnacentral:antisense_RNA from 1 species